GACGAACGCUGGCGGCGUGCCUAAUACAUGCAAGUCGAGCGGACCGACGGGAGCUUGCUCCCUUAGGUCAGCGGCGGACGGGUGAGUAACACGUGGGUAACCUGCCUGUAAGACUGGGAUAACUCCGGGAAACCGGGGCUAAUACCGGAUGCUUGAUUGAGCCGCAUGGUUCAAUUAUAAAAGGUGGCUUUCAGCUACCACUUACAGAUGGACCCGCGGCGCAUUAGCUAGUUGGUGAGGUAACGGCUCACCAAGGCGACGAUGCGUAGCCGACCUGAGAGGGUGAUCGGCCACACUGGGACUGAGACACGGCCCAGACUCCUACGGGAGGCAGCAGUAGGGAAUCUUCCGCAAUGGACGAAAGUCUGACGGAGCAACGCCGCGUGAGUGAUGAAGGUUUUCGGAUCGUAAAACUCUGUUGUUAGGGAAGAACAAGUACCGUUCGAAUAGGGCGGCACCUUGACGGUACCUAACCAGAAAGCCACGGCUAACUACGUGCCAGCAGCCGCGGUAAUACGUAGGUGGCAAGCGUUGUCCGGAAUUAUUGGGCGUAAAGCGCGCGCAGGCGGUUUCUUAAGUCUGAUGUGAAAGCCCCCGGCUCAACCGGGGAGGGUCAUUGGAAACUGGGGAACUUGAGUGCAGAAGAGGAGAGUGGAAUUCCACGUGUAGCGGUGAAAUGCGUAGAGAUGUGGAGGAACACCAGUGGCGAAGGCGACUCUCUGGUCUGUAACUGACGCUGAGGCGCGAAAGCGUGGGGAGCGAACAGGA
rnacentral:rRNA from 1 species